rnacentral:rRNA from 1 species
CGUGCUUAACACAUGCAAGUCGAGCGGAAAGGCCACUUCGGUGGUACUCGAGCGGCGAACGGGUGAGUAACACGUGAGUAAUCUGCCCUUCACUUGGGGAUAACCUCCGGAAACGGUGGCUAAUACCCGAUACGACCAUUCCAGGCAUCUGGUGGUGGUGGAAAGUUUUUUCGGUGGGGGAUGUGCUCGCGGCCUAUCAGCUUGUUGGUGGGGUAAUGGCCUACCAAGGCUUCGACGGGUAGCCGGCCUGAGAGGGUGACCGGCCACACUGGGACUGAGACACGGCCCAGACUCCUACGGGAGGCAGCAGUGGGGAAUAUUGGACAAUGGGCGGAAGCCUGAUCCAGCAACGCCGCGUGAGGGAUGACGGCCUUCGGGUUGUAAACCUCUUUCACCGAUGACGAAGCGCAAGUGACGGUAGUCGGAGAAGAAGCACCGGCCAACUACGUGCCAGCAGCCGCGGUAAUACGUAGGGUGCGAGCGUUGUCCGGAAUUAUUGGGCGUAAAGGGCUCGUAGGCGGUUUGUCGCGUCGGGAGUGAAAACACGGGGCUUAACUCCGUGCUUGCUUUCGAUACGGGCAGACUAGAGGUAUGCAGGGGAGAACGGAAUUCCUGGUGUAGCGGUGAAAUGCGCAGGUAUCAGGAGGAACACCGGUGGCGAAGGCGGUUCUCUGGG